CACUAUAAAUAGCGCUUAGUUUUCCCAAAUUGUUCAUCAAUUGUUUUUCAAAUUCACAAAUAGGGAAAAUUUGAUAUCUAAAAAAUUUUGAUUUCUAAACUUUGAAUCAAUGAUGAAUGUUGUUUUUGCUGCAGUUUUCAGGUAUAUUUUUUAAUGGGCGUGGAAGAAAUUGGGUGAAUUUACUAAUUUUCUCUCGAAUUCUCCGCAGUUUUUUGGUAGUUUUGAUCUACUUGCACUUAAAUUUGAUAUAGAAACUCAAAAACUCGAAAUCUCCGCAGGAUUUUGGUGAGUUUGAUCUACCUGCACUUUGAUUUGAUAUCGAAACUUUGAAUCUACCAUGAAUGUUGUUUUUGCUGCAGUUUUCAUGUAUUAUUUUCACUGUGAAAUGGGGUAGAAGAAAUUGGAUUAAGUUAAUAAGUUUUCGCUCGAAAUCUCCGCAGGUUCCGUUUCAUGGAGAAGGUGAAAUGGUGUAGACGAAGUUGAUUUAGUUUCUUACGUUCCCCGCGGCAUUUUUGUAAGUUUGAGCUUGCUCUAAUACAUACCGCCUCAAAAAAAUGCUGAAGGACUCACCCAAAAUGUCACACUACUAAAUGGUAAAGAAAGACAGUCACCCAAGAAAGUUUAGGAAAAGUUGCUAGGUGGGCAAAGGUAACCUUGAAAAUGCGAGCUGCACCAACAGGAUUGUCCUCCGUCAUACAUUGGCGAAUUGGGGGGCUGAAAUCCAUGAGCCUAAACUAUAGCCCUCGCCUUUGGCAUGGUUGCAUACAAAUAAUGUGGUGAUAAGGUCCAACUCAAUUUUCUAUUUUCCCAAUCACGUGCACACAAAAAUCAAGCUGGCUCUAGUUAUUUAAUGACACACAGUGAGUGGAGUUCAAGAGAGGGUUACAGUUUGGCUCAUGGAUUUUAGCAACCCAUUUCUCCAUGUUUGUCAGACGACAAUACUGUUGGACCAACUUGCAUUUUCGGGAUCACUUUUGUCCGCCAAGCAACCUUUUCUGAAACUUGCUUAGGUGAUUUUCUUCUUCCCUGUAUGUAGUGGAACAUUUUUGGGGAAAAUGAGACUGAUUUGGUAGACAAUUGAGUCAAGUUGUUCAGCAUGUUUUAGGGGCAGUCCUAUUUGUAGUUGAGAUAAAAGAGGUAUCUAGUGCUUACUCUUAACUCUUUUAAUUUUCUUCUUAACUUUUGUGUAAUAUAUUAUACACUUCAUUGAAUUCAUUUUGGUAUUACAUGGUAAUGGUUUAGUGUUGUUUUUAACGGACGAAUUCUAUUGAUAAAACAAGAAAAGUCAAUUAUACAUAACCUUUUAUUUUAAUCUAUUGAUUUCACAUCUAUAAUGUUAUCCUCUUCUACUAUUUUUGUGUAAUUAUUUUAUAUAUGUUUCUGAUUGAUCAUACCAUGUGUUUCUGUUAAUUAUAUUUUUAUCGAGUAGGUGAGAUGGCGUAGAAGAAAUUGGAUUAAUUUCCUAGUCUUAUGGCGUACUUGUUUUAUUGAGGUGUUAAUAGGUGGAGGGGAAGGAGAAUGGGAAAUUAUAAGGUAUGGUAUGGAAUGUCACCAACAUCAUCUGGUAUUGUUGUUGUUUAUAUUUCUUUUUUUUGCAGGCUUUCUAUUGCUUAACUUAUUGGUUGUUAUGUUUACUUCCUAUUUUCUUCUUUUGUAUACUUAAAAAUUUGUUGUAUUUGCGUUGCAAGUCUUUCGGAAAACAUUCUUUCUAUCUCCACAAGGUAAUAGUUAAGCAUGCAGUCACUUUACCCUACGCUGACCCCAUCAAUAGGAUGUUUUAUGUGCAAGUCGCCACUAUAAUGUCAUUUCAUUUAUGAAUUCCUCUUUUAGUAUUGAAAAUGGAAGUCUAUAUUUCUUUCUUAAAGAGAAGAAAACCUAAGGAAGUACCACAUUGUCCACUUUUGGCAAUCUUUGCAUGAGACCAAAAAAAGAUAAUUGAUUGCUUUUGACAAGUAAGAGAAAUCAAAUUCCUUCAUUUUUUUUUCCUUCUUAACUAAAAAUACAGCACCUAAAACAUGCUAAACAACUCAAAGGAGUUCUAUUCCAAUUUCCAAAUCAAUUCCAUUUGCCUAAAAAAUAUUAUAUUACUAUACCGAAAAGAAGAAAAUCAUCCGAGCACCUUUAAGAAAAGGUUGCAUAUGAGGCAAAAGUGGUCCUGGAAAUGCUAGUUGCACGUACAAAGGUGUUUCCUUUAUAGGUGCAACUGGCAUUCUCAGGGCCAGCUUCGCCUCACAUGCAACCCCUUUCUUUUCUGAAUUUCGCGGAGGUGAUUUUCUUCUUCCUAAUAUAGUAGUGUAACAUUGUUGAGGAAACCGGAUUGAUUUGGAAGAGAACUGAGUUCAAGUGGUUCAACAUGUUUUAGGGGCGCAGUAUUUGUAGUUAAGAGGGAAAAAUGGAGGAAUUUGAUUUUUCCUGCAUACAUGUAUGUGAACUUAGAAUAUUUACUUGUACUUGAGUUACGGACUUGUAGUAUGCUGGUGUGUAUUUUUUAGCAAAGCAGGCCAUUAUUAAAGUUAAUCUUUCAAGAUAAUAUGUUUUUUUUUGAAAUUUUACUAAACUAGUAUAAACGUAGUUCUCAGUAAUGUUUUAGGUAAUAUUUUGUUCAAGAAAAUUCAACAACAAAAAGACAAAAAUCUGACAGAGUGAACAAACAUAAAACGUUAUUGUCAAUAACGUUUCAUAAUUCGUUACUCAGAAGUAUGUUUUACUCAGAGUAACAUAAAAUCUCCAUGUAAUUCAGAGUUUUCUUGUAGUGAUAAUUUCUAUGUUAAUUACUAUAUAAAGAAGAGUUUUGAUAUUAGGGAAUUUCACAAGUUACAUGUAUAUAUAUAGACACGUAGCAGAAAUCAAAUUCCUCUAUUUUCUGCCUUUUUUAACCACACAAUACAACUCUUUUCCCAAAAUGUUACACCUCUAUACAUGGAAGAAGAAAAUCAACCAAGCAAGUUUCAGGAAAAGGUUGCAUGUGAGAAAAAGGCGGCCCUGGAAAUGCUAGUUGCACGUACAAGGAUGUUCUACAACGUACGUAGGGUAAGCGGAUGGCUGAAAUUCGUUAGCCUAACCGUGGCCCUGGAAAUGCUUCUCUGCAGGACAAGCUUCAUUUCCAUUACCGGAUAUCAACAGAAAGGUUGAAAAGGACAACAAUUUAGAGGAUUUGGUGGAGUGUGGAAAGAUUUGAAUGCAAACUUAUCGAAGAUUGAUCAUCAUGGAUUUAAGCCACCCACUUACCCCACGUGCGUUGUCAAACGCCUUUGUAAGUGCGCGCAGCUAGCAUUCUCAGGUCGGACCUUUGUCUUGCGUGCAACUUUUCCUGAAACUCUGCUUGGUUUUUCUUCCAAAAUGAGACCGAUUUGCAAGAGAAUUUAGGUACUGCUGUUAACUUUUGAUUCCCAGUUUACUACAUCAGCUGCAUAGUCAUUUAUUCCUUGUUUGAAUUUUCUGAUUUAUUUUUUCUUUGCAUGUAUUAUUAUAUGUAUACAUCUUUUAUUUAGGAAGUUGGGAUUUCAAGAAUGGAGAUGGAACUUAUGGAACUGGAAUAUAAGACCGCCAACUCCUAUCUCGAAGAUACAACGCCAACUCAGCAAUAUGCAGGCAUGAAAAAUGAACGGAUGGAUUCGGGUAGAAGAUGUAUUGGAGCCAAAAUUUUGAAGAGAAAAUGCAGCAAAGGGCCGAAAUUCAGUCAACCAAAAGUCACGUGACAAGCACAUGUGACUGUUAUCUUUUUGUAACCACUUGCGUCCAGAUUCAUUUGCAACUAUUGUAUGCAUUUGAGAUUUCGAAAUUUGAAUAUUUUUUAUCAACUGAGGAUGUCAACUGAAGUUUAAUAUAGUGGGCUGAUAGCUUGAUAAGUGUUAAACAUGUGUCUAUUACACUAUGCAAUGUAAAACACAAGGCUGUCAUAUGGUCUAUAAAUAGACAGCCUUGGUGUUGGACGUUUUGGAGAUAAGAGUGAAGAAUUAAGUCUUGAAUUUCACUAAGACACUUAGAAAAAACCUAAGGAUUUUAAAAAGUAUCAAAGGCAGCAAUUGACUUGUGAUUGUGCCUUAUGUUGAAGUUAAAGUCGAAGUUGGGAUACACUUGUUAUCCUAACGAGUGAGUUUCUUUGUAUUGUUUUGUAUAUAUAUAUAAAUGUUGGGUUUGCCCAUA